UCUCCGUUGGUGAACCAGCGGAGGGAUCAUUACCGAGUUAUCAACUCCCAAACCCCUGUGAACAUACCCUACGUCGCUUCGGCGGGACCGCCCCGGCGCCCUCGGCGUCCCGGAACCAGGCGCCCGCCGGAGGACCCAAACUCUUGUUUAAACCAUAGUGGCAUAUUCUGAGUCUCACAAGAAAAAUGAAUCAAAACUUUCAACAACGGAUCUCUUGGCUCUGGCAUCGAUGAAGAGCGCAGC
rnacentral:misc_RNA from 1 species